rnacentral:rRNA from 1 species
AGAACGAACGCUGGCGGCAUGCCUAAUACAUGCAAGUCGAACGAACUCUUCGGAGUUAGUGGCGCACGGGUGCGUAACGCGUGGGAAUCUGCCCCUUGGUUCGGAAUAACAGUUGGAAACGACUGCUAAUACCGGAUGAUGACGAAAGUCCAAAGAUUUAUCGCCAAGGGAUGAGCCCGCGUAGGAUUAGCUAGUUGGUGAGGUAAAGGCUCACCAAGGCAACGAUCCUUAGCUGGUCUGAGAGGAUGAUCAGCCACACUGGGACUGAGACACGGCCCAGACUCCUACGGGAGGCAGCAGUAGGGAAUAUUGGACAAUGGGCGAAAGCCUGAUCCAGCAAUGCCGCGUGAGUGAUGAAGGCCUUAGGGUUGUAAAGCUCUUUUACCCGAGAUGAUAAUGACAGUAUCGGAGAAUAAGCCCCGGACUAACUCCGUGACCAGCCAGCCGC